rnacentral:rRNA from 1 species
UACGUAGGGGGCAAGCGUUGUCCGGAAUUAUUGGGCGUAAAGAGCUCGUAGGCGGUGUGUCACGUCGGCCGUGAAAACCUGGGGCUUAACUCUGGGCGUGCGGUCGAUACGGGCAUCACUAGAGUUCGGCAGGGGAGACUGGAAUUCCUGGUGUAGCGGUGAAAUGCGCAGAUAUCAGGAGGAACACCGGUGGCGAAGGCGGGUCUCUGGGCCGAUACUGACGCUGAGGAGCGAAAGCGUGGGGAGCAAACAGG